rnacentral:snRNA from 1 species
UCGCAUUCUCGACCACCAA